AACAUCGCGCACCUGCGGGAACCUGCGGAGGGAUCAUUACCGAGUGUGGUCCCUUAUAAGGGGCGCCUCCCGUCCUUUGCAGGGCCUUUAGGGGCUUUUUGACUUUGCUUCGGCGGGCUUGCCCCGCCGGAACACCCUCAAGAAAAUCUUUAUGAACCGUUUGUCUGAGUUGCUUGCGAAUAAAAACAAAACUUUCAACAAUGGAUCU
rnacentral:misc_RNA from 1 species